GAGCCAGACUGAAGCCAGACACGGCUAAUGACAUCAGACUUAAAGACCGGAUGGUGGAAAGGAAGAACUCACUAUAUUAUAUUAGGAUAUUAAGAUAAGGCUUGUAGUAUCCUUAAGUCACACUGUUUUUUUGUUUUUUUCGCAGCAGAUGAACCAGCUGAAGGCUCUGCCUCCCAUUCUACUUUCAGAGACCUUUAAAACAGCAGACGAAUGUGUGGUGAAUGAUCGAUGAGUUUUCAACUGGACUGACACCUGCAACAGAAAGCCUUAUUGCAAAAAAGAACUGUUCAUCCUUAAAUUGGAUAGGGAAAUUGGAGAUGCUGAAACCCUUUCACUACAGGGCUCUAAGAUGUUAUCAGCAACGACUGAUCAUAAUUUCAGCUUUCGACUCAUAAGGAGCCAUAAAAGCAGUAGGACAGAUCAGCCUCAUGGCUGUUGAGAAGCACAGAAGGCAGGUGGACACAACCAUGCCAGGUCAAACUGCAGAAGGUUGGGUCCAGUACCAGAUGGUUUGUCUUGAUCAGAACACUUGACUGAGGAUAUGCACAAGAAAGUCCCACAGCUGCCUCAACAAACCCAAAGAAAG